AGGAUUAUAGUUUAUUAAAAACAUUUGAUUUGCACUCAAAAAAUAUUGACUUCAAUUUAUCUUA
rnacentral:tRNA from 1 species